AGAAGAAGGAAGGAAGGAAGGAAGGAAUGGUGCUCUCAGAUCUACAGAUGGGUCCAUCAGUUUUCUUGCCACCCAGGUGGUCCGUGUCACACAGAUGCAGGUACAGGCGGGAAGCCCAGGAAGUCCUCGUUCAGCCACACAAGAGGGUCUGCCUGCUUAUUUCCUUCCCACAGGGAAAUGAAGGGGUGGAUGACGGUCCCUUCUGGAGUCUCCACGAUGUAACGGUUCCUCCAGACACUGACCCCUCUUCUCCCCUCAGCUUUUCUCCUCAGGCUCCCUUAUAGUCACCGUUUGGUACAGGAGAGACUGGAGGGUCAGCAAGGUGAAGAACCGUCAAGAGCCAAAAUCCAAAUAAAUCAGGGAUCGAGUCUGAGAGCCUUGGACUUGACCUGGCUGCCUCACAAAGGUGGGACUGACUGGGUUUGGUGUCCGGGUUCAAAUGAACUUUUAGCUGGGGGAUGACGACUGCACAGGCCCUUUCUGUCCUCCUCUGCUCACUUGAGCACACCGCCAUCCCUAUCUCUUGGUGCUUCUCUGGGCUGUGAGCUUCUUGUGGUUAGGGACCUUCCUCUUUCACUGUGGAUUUCCCAACAAGUAGCAUACUUGUGACAUGGGAUUGCUGGAGAGAGAUUUGACAGAACCCACCCAGCACCCCUUCUUCAUGCAUGGCAUCAGCACUGACCUCUGGAGUGGGGCUGGCCACUCCUGUCUUGCACUGGACUGUUGCAAAGUCCCACCACCCUAGGCGGUGCAGAGGGAUGGGCCUGAAACAUUUCUGGCAAUCUCGUAAUUAUGCACCCGUGAGAAGAGCUUUUGUUUUGCAAAUUGUAUCAAAGCUGCCCUUUGCAACUCCAGGCCCAGUAGCAAGACCUCAAAAACAAAAACAAAACAAAAACCUGGGUUUAAAUCCUGGCUCUGUUCCUUGGGGUCAUACCUCCCGGGGAAAUAGGGGCGUGGACUUCGAGGGAAGCGAUUGGACUGUCUGGGUUGAAGACAGCAGUUAAGACCAUCUUCCUUUGCCAUCUCUAGAUAAGGGCUGGGAAGCCCAGUGGUAGGGGGGAGGCUACAGCCCCGGUCUAACAGGAGUGCAGGAACCGGCUUGUUAAGGUCCACUUGGCCUCAGGGAUCCUCCUUUCAGGGAGGUGGAAGGAGAGGCCUCUGACGACGACAAGCUGUGGCUGCUGGUGGGGCAUCCUCGGUGACAGAGCUGGGGGCCCCCUGAAGCUUCUGGGCUGACUUUGUGGGAUUGGUCAGACCUCAUAGAGCUUUGUAACUCCCACUGGCUCUUGGUUUGCAAAUAACUUCUUUCUCAUCACGGGAGGUGGUGGUGGGGUUUCCCAGCGCUUAAAACAAGCACAGCUAACCUGAUGGGAGGCAGCGACAGGGUAAAGGAGCCGAGGGCCUGCUGUACCGCCCCCAAACCCGUGGAAGGGACCCGUAGGCAGCCAGCCCUGAAAUCUGCUAGUUGGGGGGAAAGCCCCAGGGCUACCCGAAGUCAGGUUCUCUUGGUGUCCCACCUAGGCUAACUUUGAAUAAACUUCCCGAAUCCUCCCGGCUUCGCUCCACUUUGUGUGUGCGAGUUCACCGCUCUGUAAACAAAGCUCUCUUGCUUGUUUGGCGUCGAAUUUCAGUAACACCCUGUAAUGUUAAUUCUCUCCCUCCCCAAAAGAUAAAUCCUAAAGCGCCCCCAUUCAUUCCUUCAGGAAUGCAACAGAUGUCUUUGAGGCCCGUUUUCUGCAAAGAGCUUGGUUCACUAGGCCCAAGGGACCCCUGGCUCCAGCUAUUGUUCAAGUUGUCACCGAGGUCUCUAACUCCACUUUUAAGUCUCCCUCUCCCCCUUCCCAAUCCCUCCUCCGCAGUCUCGGGGCAGUCAGCCGGUCUGAUCUCACCCAGCAGGAAAACAAAAACAAAACA